AUCCAGCCGACGAGCCUCAAAUAGGACGAAACGCGCUUCAACCUGGAU
rnacentral:hammerhead_ribozyme from 1 species